GACGAACGCUGGCGGCGUGCUUAACACAUGCAAGUCGAACGGAAAGGCCCUGCUUUUGUGGGGUGCUCGAGUGGCGAACGGGUGAGUAACACGUGAGUAACCUGCCCUUGACUUUGGGAUAACUUCAGGAAACUGGGGCUAAUACCGGAUAGGAGCUCCUGCUGCAUGGUGGGGGUUGGAAAGUUUCGGCGGUUGGGGAUGGACUCGCGGCUUAUCAGCUUGUUGGUGGGGUAGUGGCUUACCAAGGCUUUGACGGGUAGCCGGCCUGGGAGGGUGACCGGCCACAUUGGGACUGAGAUACGGCCCAGACUCCUACGGGAGGCAGCAGUGGGGAAUAUUGCACAAUGGGCGGAAGCCUGAUGCAGCAACGCCGCGUGCGGGAUGACGGCCUUCGGGGUGUAAACCGCUUUCGCCUGUGACGAAGCGUGAGUGACGGUAAUGGGUAAAGAAGCACCGGCUAACUACGUG
rnacentral:rRNA from 1 species